rnacentral:rRNA from 1 species
UACGGCGAGUGAGCGGCAACAGCUCAAUUUGAAAUCUGGCGGCCUCUGGGCCGUCCGAGUUGUAAUUUGAAGAGGAUGCUUUUGGCGAGGCGCCUUCCGAGUGCCCUGGAACGGGACGCCACAGAGGGUGAGAGCCCCGUAUGGUUGGACGCCGAGCCUCUGUAAAGCUCCUUCGACGAGUCGAGUAGUUUGGGAAUGCUGCUCAAAAUGGGAGGUAAACCCCUUCUAAAGCUAAAUACUGGCCAGAGACCGAUAGCGCACAAGUAGAGUGAUCGAAAGAUGAAAAGCACUUUGAAAAGAGAGUUAAAUAGCACGUGAAAUUGUUGAAAGGGAAGCGCUUGCGACCAGACUUGUGCCCGUCGAAUCAGCCGCCGCUCGCCGGCGGCGCACUUCGGCGGGCUCAGGCCAGCAUCAGUUCGCUGCAGGGGGAGAAAGGCGGCGGGAAUGUGGCUCUUCGGAGUGUUAUAGCCCGCCGCGCAAUACCCCUCGGCGGACUGAGGACCGCGCAUCUGCAAGGAUGCU